UACGUGAAACCGUUCAGAGGUAAACGGGUGGGGCCUCGAAGUCCCAGGGCGGUGGUGCACUCAGGUCGGUAGCGGGGCCCGUUCGUCCUUGCCGGUGGCCCCACGAGCGGUGGCUGCAUGGAUGGACGCGAGCCUCGGGCCCGCGCCGCACUUGCACUCCCUGUCCAGCGGGGCGUCGCAAUCGGUUGGAUCGAUCGUCGUGCGGACGACCGCAGCCAGGUGGCCGCGCCGCCUGUUUUAAACGGGCGGGCGGUGUUAUAGGCUGCGACUGUUCCCGGCGGGUCGUCCGACCGAGGUGGUGGAUUGUGCCUCGUAAGCGUUCCCAACGAGCGUCGCGGCCCAGCGAGCGGAGCGAGAAUUCGACCGUGGUGCCACCUCGACGGUGAGCCUGAGCGAGGUCGCGUUUCUUGCCCAUUGGAGCCGCGGGGAACCGGAGGUUUGCGGCGAGUAGGUCGGUUUCCCACCCGACCCGUCUUGAAACACGGACCAAGGAGUCCAAAUCGCGUGCGAGUUCCCGGGACUUGACCAGGCCCGAGGGCGAAAACGAAAGUGAGCGGUUGGGAUCCGUCCGCCGUGUGCGGCGGCGCACCAACGGCCCGUCCGAAUUCGGUUUCGAAUGGAUGGAGUCUGAGCACGUGGUUUGGGACCCGAAAGAUGGUGAACUAUGCCUGGGCAGGACG
rnacentral:rRNA from 1 species